CAGGAUGCAGUUGGUGUGCAGUUGGCCUACGAGGCCCUGAUUCGAUUCCUGAGGACGCCUUCCAAUCAGGAAUCGAUUAAAGCAGAGCUCAGCUCCUGUGACCACCACUACAACUUCCUGGAUGUUUUUUUUUCUUCAGCUACUUUAUAAAUGGCUCAAAACCUCAGCCAUUUAAGGGAGGUUUCUUGGAGCGCCUGCUUGCGCUCUUCAGCAUGUGGGACGUGGACGUGUGGGAGCCUGCAGCAGAGCUGUACUUCACAGUGCUUAUUGUAA